rnacentral:rRNA from 1 species
AUACGGAGGGUGCAAGCGUUGUUCGGAAUCACUGGGCGUAAAGGGCGCGCAGGCGGUUUGAUAAGUCAGAUGUGAAAGCCCAUGGCUCAACCAUGGAAGUGCAUUUGAAACUGUCAGACUUGAGUACUAGAGGGGAAAGUGGAAUUCCCGGUGUAGAGGUGAAAUUCGUAGAUAUCGGGAGGAAUACCGGUGGCGAAGGCGACUUUCUGGCUAGAUACUGACGCUGAGGCGCGAAAGCGUGGGGAGCGAACAGGAUUAGAUACCCGAGUAGUCC